rnacentral:rRNA from 1 species
CCCUUAGAUGUUCUGGGCCGCACGCGCGCUACACUGACGAAUGCAACGAGCUUAUAACCUUGGCCGAAAGGUCUGGGUAAUCUCCAAAUUUCGUCGUGAUGGGGAUAGAUUAUUGCAAUUAUUAAUCUUCAACGAGGAAUGCCUAGUAAGCGCAAGUCAUCAGCUUGCGUUGAUUACGUCCCUGCCCUUUGUACACACCGCCCGUCGCUCCUACCGAUUUCGAGUGGUCCGGUGAAUCUUUCGGACUGCGCGCGGCUUCGUGCCGUGUCGCGGAAAGUCAGGUAAACCUUAUCACUUAGAGGAAGGAGAAGUCGUAACA